AUGCAGUCGAACGAUGAAGCCCAGCUUGCUGGGUGGAUUAGUGGCGAACGGGUGAGUAACACGUGGGUGAUCUGCCCUGCACUUCGGGAUAAGCCUGGGAAACUGGGUCUAAUACCGGAUAGGACCUCGGGAUGCAUGUUCCGGGGUGGAAAGGUUUUCCGGUGCAGGAUGGGCCCGCGGCCUAUCAGCUUGUUGGUGGGGUAACGGCCCACCAAGGCGACGACGGGUAGCCGGCCUGAGAGGGCGACCGGCCACACUGGGACUGAGACACGGCCCAGACUCCUACGGGAGGCAGCAGUGGGGAAUAUUGCACAAUGGGCGCAAGCCUGAUGCAGCGACGCCGCGUGAGGGAUGACGGCCUUCGGGUUGUAAACCUCUUUCAGUACCGACGAAGCGCAAGUGACGGUAGGUACAGAAGAAGCACCGGCCAACUACGUGCCAGCAGCCGCG
rnacentral:rRNA from 1 species